GAAGGAAGGAAGGAAGGAAAGAAAGAAAGAAAAGAGAAAAGAAAGGAAGGAAGGAAGACUGAACAAGGACUCAUAAUGGUUUUAACAGAACAAUUUGCGAUUCAUUCUAUUUAUCCUGAGUGAGCCGGGACAACCGCCCCAUAUGGCCAUCCAAAGGAAAAUCUUGUUAGAAUGAGGUCAUAUUUUCCCUUGAAACAACAAGAUAGAAAGUGGCAGGUGAAUUGGGAUUGCGCUACCACCUUACAAUGUGUGGCGGAGAUUUGAUUUCUCUCCACCAUGUGUGUGGGGGGCCUGAGGCAGUCAAGGCUGGCGUCCACGCUGACGUGGAUGGAGCACCCCCACAGAAGGACGGCUGAGGCUAGGAGCUGGAGGCCUCCUGCAAGGAACUGCUGAUAAAACGAACAUUCAUCAAGGUACAAAUGAUCAUCUUUUAUCAAAAUCGUUUUCUUUCCAUCUCGUACCAAGCCUGUCUGUGUUGUGUGCGUGCGUGGGUGUGGAGGGGGUGUGUGUGCGGCUGAGUGGGUGCAUAUGUGUGUGUGUGUGUUUGAUGUCUCAUCUGGUGUGAUUAAGGGAGAAACUGGGGGGGGGGAGCCUGUUCUUUGUUUAUUUUGCAGAUAAAUCUCAUCUCUAAUCCGGAUGCACAGCAAUGUCUCAUGCAAAGGAAAGGAAGCCCCCUAUGCUACCCCGAUGACAUCCAUAUAAAUCACAGGUUUUAUUCCUCUGCUGUGAGGGGCACUGCAGAUUGGAGCAACGUUGCAGACUCUCAUUGGGUGCUGUUGUGCAUCAGGAUUAGCGCCUCAAUUUAUUGCCAGUUCAAGCUAUGCACUUGCUCAAUGACAGGAUGUUGUCCACAUCGCCAAAAGUUCCGGAAAGGAGACCGUGUUUGCUGAGUGGUUUGUCCUUCAUGAAAUGGGAACAUACACAGAGUGGUUGUGAAGAUGAAACAAGACAGUGCACAGGCCUGGCCCAUAGCAUGUGCUUAAUAAACACCUGUGACC